AGAUAUUACUAGCAAAUAGCUUAAAACUCAAAAGACUUGACAGUAUUUCAUAUCUACCUAGAGGAGCCUGUCCUACAAUCGAUAAUCCACGAUCGACCUCACCCACUUUAGCAAGACUCAGCCUAUAUACCUCCGUCGCCAGCUCGCCCGACAACAGAAACAAAGCGGGUCCAAUAGUCACACACUAAAACGACAGGUCACGGUGUAGCUAAUAAGUGGGGCAGAGAUGGGCUACAUUUUCUAACUUAGACCACACCCACACCGCCAUGAAAUUUGCGUAACAAGGUGGAUUUAGUAGUAAGACUGGCAAGACACGCCAACCUGAAACUCGCCCUGAAAUGUGUACACACCGCCC
rnacentral:rRNA from 1 species